rnacentral:lncRNA from 1 species
GGGAAACUCCAGAACCCGACAGGGUGGUUUGUCACAACACAAUCCUUUUUGUUGGCUCUAUCACACACUGCUGUCACUGUGAAAUUGUCUUAACAUUUCUAUUUCUUACAAAAGCAACUUCACCUCUGUGACUUGUCAGCGGUUUGAAUCAUCUGUUUCUAACCCACAAUAUCUAUUUUAGGUCAUGCAAAGCAAUGUGUGUGUGCGUGGGACUUCCUGUGGUGACGCGAUCCAGUACGCUGCUAUGAUUGGCUGGUCACUUCCCAACUUCCUCAAUAACAAGAAAACACAGGCAUCAGCUGUGAGUGCAGUGCAGUCAUCAAACGAUGCAGUAGGGGUUUGGAACAUUCCCUUCUCUACAAAUGUAUGAAUUCCAUCAGCAGAAGGCAGAGGAAUGUGAACAGGAAGUGUAGGGACCCGCUGACACCUGGAAGCACUCAAACAUUUUGUUACCAGGAGUGAAGUAUGGGCAGUGAGUACCAGCCACUAUCUUCAGCAGAGCCUUGCACAACUUUCUUCAUCGAGACGUCAGAGUGCUUUAUAUGCCGGGAUGUUGAACUUCAAGCCAGUGGCCCACUGAGGAAUUUUUGUGACUGCAAGAAUUCACUUUCUCAUCACGCAUGUCUAUCUACAUGGAUCCAGAAGCUUUGGGUCUCUUUGGAUACUCUACAAGUGGUGGACAACACACUACAGCAGACCUUUCAUCUGCACUACCCAGCUGUCAGAGUGAAGAGCCACUUCCAUUAAGUGUGUGUCUUCCCACUAUACAAUUAUAUACAGACACACGCGCUCCGGCUCAUGAAGAAGGUGCACACACAGAGUGAGCCCUGCUCUCUGUUGAAAGUGUGUGUCGAUAUUACAAGACUACUUUAGUUUUUUUUUUUUUUUUUCUGCGCGAGCGGGAAGCAGACAGAGGAAGAGAGAGAGCGAGAGAGAGAGCGAGAGAGCAACCUUUUAGAGUGCUCAGGGUAGGGAGCCCUUUUCCUUUUUACAGAACAGAAAUCAGCAAUUGACCUGUCACUUUUGCUCUGAUAGCCAUCUCUGGAAAGCAGGUCAUGCACAUAUGUCUAAAGUGCCUCUUAACCGCACUUUAUGAAGCCAGAAAAUGUAAUCCAAUAAUGAUUUGACUUGCAACAGAGAGCGGCAGCCAGCUGGGAGCGAUCGCAUGCGCCGUUGCCGCUCCUAAAGGCAGCUUGAGCGAAAAUGAAAAGGCAAAUUCAGCGUCCUUAUUUAAUUUCACCCACAACAGUGUGACACAGAUGUUGUCACACCGCUUGGGCUCGAACGCAACCAAACGGCGUUGGCUUUUAUCUUCGCAACUGUUGAAACGCACGUCAGCGCGUUUGACGCAGAGAGCCCUUUUGAAUGAGUAUCAUCUGCACUGAGGCACAACAUACGCUGUCUUUUUUUAGACUGCCUCAUUUUUUUUUUUUUGCCCCAGACCAACUUCCACCCCCUGGCCCACCAUCCCCUGUUCAGGUUCCCAAAGACAAAUAGCAUGGCACAAAACUAAUUAGUAACCAGGAACUAGUUAGGAGAUGCCCUUUGAAAAACACGUCCUGAGGCUGGAUUUAAAUAUAGGGGGCAGAGUCAAUGACUGAAUGUGCCUAGGAGAUCCCAGCCCCCAGGCGCUGCAGCACUUUGACCCCUGACCCUCAUUAUAGGGAGUGCAUUCCUAGAGGGGUGAAAGCCCUCACAGCUCUAAGUACAAGGGCAUAGGAGGACUGCAUGGUUGUACCACACCAGC